ensembl:lncRNA
CUGUGUGUUUCUGCAAUGGGUUCCCUGCUCACUUGUGCCUGGUGGGGAGACUCACACAACUCUGAUGGGCUGAGAGGCCUUGCAGCACUUAGAGGCCCUGUGUAAGGGGUAAACCAGAAGUCCGAAAUACUAAGACAGAGGUCUUGCCCUAAAGCUCCGUAAGAAAGAUACUAUCUCUAAACAGACCCAUCACUUUCAAAGGACUUCUUUUCACAGGGCUUUUUGGGGGCAGGGGAGCCUUUUACCAAUAUCUUUCAGUCCCCCUAAGGAAUUACAUAAACGCAUUAGGUUCAGGUUACCCAUUCCUUCUGCACCUGAAGCUGCAGGUAAGUUUGCUGUGCAGAUUAAACCUUGUCUCCACACCUGUCACUUCUGGAUCCUGUAAGCUCCAUCCCCAGCGUUCCAGGGCCAGUCACCUCAAAGUGGGCUGUAGCCAAGCUCCCAGUGAACGAUGCUCAGUCAGGGAUAAGACCCCUAGUCCUACAUCGUGGGAGAGGCAUAUUCAGAGGAUUCUCUUUCUUCAAGACAACGCUGCAUACUUACUGACCUUUCAGGGGUGGCCUUGCAGGUAAAUCUCACCUUCUCCAAGAAACCCCAUGGUGAACUCUCAUCACACAUCAGAAUAAAUUUCACACAUCACUUGGGCACUACUUGGCAGAUAUCGCCUCAUAUUGUGGUCUUUUGUGUACAUGUACUGUUUCACUUAAAAGACUGUAGUCACCUCCCAGAGCUGUGAGUGUAUUUAACCACAUGGAAAGACCCCACGGCCCAAGUCAGGCCGUGCGCGUGCACAUUGGAUGCUGGUAAACGCUGGUGAAAUGAAUGGAUGGCUCGCGGUGUCAGGCACUAGAAAGCACUCAAUAAAUAGUUGUAGAAUUGGACCGAAUUGGAAGUCCUGAAAUAUUUCACCGUUCUCUAGCCUUUCUGCUUUAUGCCAUUUACUGUGGGUUUAGAGAGUAAGAUGAAGCUCUGUGUACACACUAAAGAGUCGUAAGCAGUUGCUGGUUAUCUGAAGAGCCCCUGAGCUCUUAGCUAUUUUAUGGCUCUGAUUCUUUUUUUUUUUUUCUCUCUCUCUAAGCAGUGUUUUCUAUUUCUGGCCAUUACAUACUCUCAUAUAAAAAUUUAAUUAGACCCCUUCUUUUCAGUUCAUUAUUACAGCCCUGUCUGUUUGCUCUUUCGACAGAACCUAGUGAACAAGAGCGAUCCCUUUUCUAGCACAAACUUCAUGACUUUGUGCCUGCGAACGAGCGUGCACACAACCCCUCGAUGACCUACCUGCAGCUGGAGGGGAUUGUGGGUUGUGACAUGAGCUGAGUGUUCAGGUAGCCUUGAAAACCUUUGAUUUGGUCACAGUCCCCCUUGGAGCAGCCCCUGGAGCCAAGUUCAAAUGCCGUGCGGUGCUUGAGAUGAAAAACAUACGUGUGUCUUGUUCAUUCAUCAUCAAUGACUGUUUUCUUAACUAUCUUGAGGGUUGAAAUUAGGCAUAGAAUAUGUAAAUUAGGUAUAGAAUAUGCCUUAAGAGAGGCCUUUUCUUUCAAGAGCAGCUGUAACAGAAGGUGUCUAUUCCAGAAGGGUGGGGACCUAUAGUUUUGUCCAUUCUUUACCUGGUACCUGGUCGUUGUUGCAUAAAUCUUUUUUGAGUGAGGAUUCGUGGGCCUAACUAACUGCUAGCUAGUUUUGCUCUUCAUCCUCGAUUAAAGUGUUUUCUGGACUAGAAAGCUCCUGUGACCGUGUCUCUAAGUCUCCAUGAGUGAUGUCUUGCCUGGGGCUUCUCUCCAGCACCCCAAGAUGCUACCAUACCUGUCUUCAAGAACUGCGGCUACAAUGCCUGACUUGGCGGGGCAGGGGCUGGGCCUGGUCCCCAAAAGGCACCCGUAACGCCCAGUACAUCUCACACAGCCUCGGAGGGAAGAGCGUGUACUGGGGAGUCACACACACCUAGCACAAAGCCACCUGCCACUAUCUCUUGACACGGGGCAAGUAGCAUGACGUCUCCUGUUGUCUGUUUACUGAUCUAUAAAGUUGGUCCCAUGAUACCUACCACCCAGAAGGGGUGGCGGGUAGUAAACGAGGGAGCAGCUCCUGAGAUAGCAAAUUAUUCAUUUACAAUUCCUUUUAUAGAUAACAGUGGUUCUCCACCCUCCUCUGUAUUGAGUGGUUUACUUCUUACUCUUGCAUGAAAUGGAAAAGAUGGGAGAAAGGCCCCCAUAACCUUGGUUCCUUGGUGCUUUAGGGCAUCUUUGAUCUGGUGCCGAGUUAGAGGCUAAAGUGUGAGUGCAGGAAGGACUCAUUCUAGGUGGGAGCAGCACUGGCCACUGGAACUUCCUGUGGUCGUGGAAUUGUUCUGGAUCCAUGAUGUCCCACACAGGGCCACUAGUUCCAGUGCGGGAGAUGUGGCCAGUUUGACCGAGCAGCAGAAGUUUUAAUUUCAUUUGAUUCUGAAUGUAAACCCAUGGCCAGUGACUAGCGCCUUGGAUGGUGUGGCUCUAGGGCCUUGCUGGGGCUUGAGGACUAGUGGUUUCUCCGUUUCCUGGGAGCUUGUUGAGAAAUGGAAGCUCUCAGGCAUCACCCUAGACCUGCUGGAUUAGAGUCAGCACAGGUGGUUCACACACACAUUCGGACUUAAGAAACACAGGGCUACCAUCUGAGCUGCCUGGGUAUGUCCACCAACAUCGGUGCAGCUGUGGGGCCAGGGAGGCUGCAAGCGUGGUGUCGGCGGGUUCCUGCGGUCACCUUUGGCUUUUCAGCUGCUCGCCACACUAAUGCAGUUUCCAGGGACCUGUGCAUGGGGUUCUCUGUGCAUCCCUGUGGCUGAGAGAUCAAAGAAGAAGUUACAUGGCUUUUAGCUCAGGAUUAAAUGCUGUUUUGCUUAUUCCUCCUCAUAAACCUCCUUCUCUGUGUUUCUUCCCAAAGGGUUACUCUCCCAUUUAUUGUCCCAUUCAGCCUACUGUAGCUUUAUUUUCCCUACUACUUUGCCUUAAACCGACAAAGAUGUUGUGGUUAUCUUUUUUUUUUUUUCUUUUUUUUUUUUUUUCGUCUUUUGUCUUUUUAGGGACACACCCACCACAUAUGGAGGUUCCCACGCUAGGGGUUGAAUUGGACCUAUCGCUCCCAGCCACAGCCACAGCCACCGCCGUGCCAGAUCCUAGCUGCAUCUGCAACCUACACCACCGGAUCCUUAACCCACUGAGCGAGGCCAGGGAUUGAACCCGUAUCCUCAUGGAUCCUUAACCACUGAGCCAUGACAGGAACCCCAGGUUGUGAUUAUCUUAAUGCUUCCAGCACUCUGGCUAGUCAUAAAUAUUUCGACAGGCUACAUAGCAUUUUCUAAGUGAAAUGAGAGAAAUGCCCCCCACCCCUCUGAGAGUAUUAAUAAUUUCUGUUUUGUCUGGAGGCUUAUUUAGCCAAUUGAAGCAACAGAGACUUCACCGACUUCCUGGACAUCCAUUGGUCAGAUCACUUAGGCUCAUGUGGAUGUUACUUGGGUAUUUAGCCAAGUUGGGGAUUUGAUUCUCUGUCUCAUUAUUUUGAAGGAGACUUUUCAUCCUGCCCUCUUUUCAGUCUUGAUCGCUCGCAGCCAUGAUGUGCUGGUGGCUUCUCCACCAGAUGUUGUCUACGUGAUGUCUGUGACAGGUUGCAGAAACGCAUUAAGCCACAUCAGGGGAGCCCAAGGGCACACUGUGGGGAAACUGAGGCGGCGUGCCAGAACAGGUGCCCCAACAAGGAUUCCGUGCCCUUAGAAUGUGUCUGGAACACAGACCCAGGGUUGCAGCCCUGGUAAAUGAUGGAGCCCCAGUUUGAGCCCUGGCAGUUUGCUCCCAGCGUUUGCGCACCUCGCCAUCCCCGGCGCCUGACGUGGCUCCCUGCCAGGGACGGUGCCCUUCCCAGAUCCCCUACGCUUGCUCCUUCUGAGCAUCUGUUACUGUGUCCCGUCUCUCCUCCCCCAGGUUUUUGCUCAGAUGUCCCCUUCCCAAAGGCUCUUUCUCCAGCCGCUCCUUCAAAGCUAGUGCACAUGCGGACCAGGGCUCUGGGUCCUCAAGUGGCCCGAGCGUCCCCUGUCCGACUGUCACACUCCGCAGCCGUGUCUGUCCAUGUCAGUCAUUGAGGACAGGGACCACCUCUGUCUUGCUCCCCUUUGCUCCCCCAGCUUGAGACUGAGUGCCCCACCCGGAGUAGGCACUUGACGGCUGCGUAGUGAAGGACGAACGGGGCCAUUUAAUUCUGUGGGUAGAUCCGCACUGAAUUGUUUGGGAGCCAGUCUCGCUUCUCUAGAAUUCACUGUUUCUUUGGCAGGACGAGGCCUUACUGUUUUCAAGCUGUGAGAUUUAAAGACAAAAUGCUUCCUGCUAAUUAUUAACAGUUGCCCUGGAAGAACAGAGUCAUUAUGGGGCCCUGAACCCUGGCACGCUGCCCCCCCGGCCCAUGGCAAAGAGUGCCAUGGAUUGGGGUGGGAAAGCAGAGGCAGCCACAGCCCUGGCACCCGCCAGCCCUCUGAUUACCCAAAGAGGAUUGGGGGCCGAAAGAGUAGGGAGUGGGUUAAAAGGAUUUGCAAUGAGAUUAUAGGACCCAAAAGCUCCUUGCUUUUGUUCGGGAAAUAAUUUAUCGGUUUUCUUCAAGGCAGCGAGACAAUCCAGUUUAGGGCCUGGAGUGGUAGAUCGACAUCCUGGGGUUCUAAAGAUGCUGAAAAAUCAGUGGAUCUGUAUUUGUACUUGGCAGGAUUCUUGGUUUUUUGUUUGUUUUGUUUUAAAGGAGGAAAAAAGCUCAUUAAAAGUACUCUAGGAGUUCCCGUUGUGGCUCAGAGGGUUAAGAACCUGAUAUAGUGUCCAUGAGGAAGCAGGUUCCAUCCCUGGCCUCACUCAGUGAGUUAAGGACCCAGCGUUGCUGCAAGCUGCGGCAUCGGUUGCAGAUGUGGCUCAGGUCUGGUGUUGCCAUGGCUG